rnacentral:rRNA from 1 species
CUGAGGAAGAAAGCAGGGGACCCAUUUGGCCUUGCCCUGUUUGAGCGGCCGAUAUCUGAUUAGCUAGUUGGUGGGGUAAAAGCCUACCAAGGCGACGAUCAGUAGCGGGUCUGAGAGGAUGAUCCGCCACACUGGGACUGAGACACGGCCCAGACUCCUACGGGAGGCAGCAGUGGGGAAUUUUGGACAAUGGGCGCAAGCCUGAUCCAGCCAUGCCGCGUGUCUGAAGAAAGGCUUCGGGUUGUAAAGGACUUUUGUCAGGGAAGAAAAGGGCGGGGUUAAUACCCCUGUCUGAUGACG